GCCUGGCUGGCUCAGUUGGUAGAGCAUGGGACUCUCUUAAUCUCAAGGUUGUGAGUUCAAGCCCCACAUUGGGCA